rnacentral:misc_RNA from 1 species
GAAAUGCGAUAAGUAAUGUGAAUUGCAGAAUUCAGUGAAUCAUCGAUUCUUUGAACGCACAUUGCGCCCGCCAGUAUUCUGGCGGGCAUGCCUGUUCGAGCGUCAUUUCAACCAUCAAGCCCCGGGCUUGUGUUGGGGACCUGCGGCUGCCGCAGGCCCUGAAAAGCAGUGGCGGGCUCGCUGUCACACCGAGCGUAGUAGCAUACAUCUCGCUCUGGGCGUGCUGCGGGUUCCGGCCGUUAAACCACCUUCGUAACCCAAGGUUGACCUCGGAUCAGGUAGGAAGACCCGCUGAACUUAAGC